GGAGGAAUACCCAAGUCCGGCUGAAGGGGUCGGUCUUGAAAACCGAUAGGCGAGAAAUCGCGCGCGGGUUCAAAUCCUGCUUCCUCCGCCA
rnacentral:tRNA from 1 species